GAACCUUUGGCGCAGUGGUAGCGCGUGUGAUUCCAGCGGCUAGGGCGGUGCGCCCGCUCGCCUCAGAGGAGCAUCCACAAGGUCGUCCGUUCAAUCCGGGCAAGGUUCA